rnacentral:rRNA from 1 species
UACCAGCUCUCCGAGUGGUGUGGAUGUUUAUUGGGCCUAAAGCAUCCGUAGCUGGCUGGGCAAGUCCCCUGUUAAAUCCACCGAUUUAAUCGUUGGAGUGCGGGGGAUACUGCUCGGCUAGGGGGCGGGAGAGGCAGACGGUAUUUUCGGGGUAGGGGUGAAAUCCUAUAAUCCCGAGAAGACCACCAGUGGCGAAGGCUGUCUGCUAGAACGUGCCCGACGGUGAGGGAUGAAAGCUGGGGGAGCGAACCGGAUUAGAUACCCGGGUAGUCUCAGCUGUAAACGAUGCAGGCUAGGUGUUUGGACGGCCACGUGCCGUUCUAGUGCCGCAGGGAAGCCGUUAAGCCUGCCGCCUGGGGAGUACGGCCGCAAGGCUAGAAACUUAAAGGGAUUGGGCGGGGGAGCACCACGAAGGGGUGAAGCUUGCGGUUU